rnacentral:rRNA from 1 species
GAUGAACGCUGGCGGUGUGCCUAAUACAUGCAAGUCGAGCGAACAGACGAGGAGCUUGCUCCUCUGACGUUAGCGGCGGACGGGUGAGUAACACGUGGAUAACCUACCUAUAAGACUGGGAUAACUUCGGGAAACCGGAGCUAAUACCGGAUAACAUGUUGAACCGCAUGGUUCAACAGCGAAAGACGGUCUUGCUGUCACUUAUAGAUGGAUCCGCGUCGCAUUAGCUAGUUGGUAAGGUAACGGCUUACCAAGGCAACGAUGCGUAGCCGACCUGAGAGGGUGAUCGGCCACACUGGAACUGAGACACGGUCCAGACUCCUACGGGAGGCAGCAGUAGGGAAUCUUCCGCAAUGGGCGAAAGCCUGACGGAGCAACGCCGCGUGAGUGAAGAAGGUCUUCGGAUCGUAAAACUCUGUUAUUAGGGAAGAACAAAUGUGUAAGUAACUAUGCACGUCUUGACGGUACCUAAUCAGAAAGCCACGGCUAACUACGCG